UACGGGGGGGGCAAGCGUUGUUCGGAAUUACUGGGCGUAAAGCGCGUGUAGGCGGGCCUUCAAGUCGGACGUGAAAUCCCUGAGCUCAACUCAGGAACUGCAUCCGAAACUGAAGGCCUGGAGUAGUGGAGAGGGAAGCAGAAUUCCUGGUGUAGAGGUGAAAUUCGUAGAUAUCAGGAGGAACACCGGUGGCGAAGGCGGCUUCCUGGACACUUACUGACGCUGAGGCGCGAAAGCUAGGGGAGCGAGCGGG
rnacentral:rRNA from 1 species